ACCUUUAGGUGAAACUGCGAAUGGCUCAUUAUAAYAGUUACAAUUUAUUUAGUGGUUGAAUUUUACAUGGAUAACUGUAGUAAUUCUAGAGCUAAUACAUGAGAAGAGAUCGGACUCUACGGAACGAUCGCACUUAUUAGAUACAAAACCAUCGUAACCCACGGUUACUAGUAAAGGGUGAUUCAUUAUAAAUGUGUAGACUGUCGCAGGACAGUGUACUAUUCAAAUUUCUGACCUAUCAGCUCUCGAUGGUAAGAUAGAGGCUUACCAUGGCAUUGACGGGUAACGGGGAAUUAGGGUUCGACUCCGGAGAGGGAGCCUGAGAAACGGCUACCACAUCUAAGGAAGGCAGCAGGCGCGCAAAUUACCCAAUCCUGACAUAGGGAGGUAGUGACAAGAAAUAUCAAUACAUGGUUUUAUUCUAUGUAAUUGGAAUGAGGGAAUUUUAAAUAUAUAUUCGAGUAACAAUUGGAGGGCAAGUCUGGU
rnacentral:rRNA from 1 species